UCAUUUCCCCAAAACAAAAUGUAUAGUUGUAUAACAAAAUCGAACAGCCAUAACACAUUCCCAACAUGCACACACGGGUUAAAAAAAGCCAUAAAUACACUUUUUUUAUGUACAGUGACAAAUAAAAACAACAACAUUGCUUUAUUUUCUACGGAGCGCUGUUUGAAGAGAGGGUCAGCGCGCACCAAGGAGAUAUUUAUAUUUGUUUUGAUUUAUGCAGCGUCAUUUCGCGUUUUUGCACUUGUGAAAACGUCGCACCUUUUACGUGCACCUCACAGUCAAAAUAGCGCCUUCGUCUUCAAGUGAGCGCUCGUCACCCUCCAGCUUUCCCGACGACUCGCCGAGGGAGCUUCUGACGAAUUUCACUAGCAAAUGGCUGUAUAAGCCUGAGACGGCCGCUCGAACAAUGAAAUGGCCGUCACAUGAGGUACGGAAGGUUCACAAACCAAAACUAAAUUCGAAACGCGCGCCGAACCGGACUAUUUCGCGGAGCAGUACAUGUGCAGUAGCUCCGCCCCCGUAGCCUUCCCUUCAUUGCCAAGAAAAGUUGUCCUUGGGGGCGCUUUAGUUGUUUGACGGGUGCACGGUGCGCGCGGUUUGUGUGUGUGUGUGCCAUGCUGUGUUCUGCAAUGCUUCGUUACCACGUUUAUCGAUUAUGCACGUUGGUUACUUGAUUCAAUGUCAAGUGUACCUUCCAAGACGAUCUAGGUCCUAGUCUCGUGACUGAAGGCGAGUGCGGACGUACAGCAGCCUUUUGACAAGACUGUCGCCGAGUGUACGGUACAUUGUGGACUGUAAAGCUGAAGAGUGCACAGUGGAUGCAUGAUUUUGGUAAGUUCUAGAAUAUUUCUGAAUUACACAGCUAGGUUAUUUCAUUACAUGACGUCUUUUACGCAGGAACCGAGUGUGAUCGUCUGGGCGGUGUGUUCACUCUGCGGGGAUGAUGGCCAGAGGAAGGAUGAUAGACAGACGACAGCUUGCAGACGAAGAUGGGAGCGUUCUACCUGUGAGCCUGGUCGAGCUUAUAUUUUAUGGAUACACAUGCAUGGAUACACAUACAUGGAUUCCCUACAAGGACCCUGCGCAUCAAAAGCAAUCUGUCAUCAAUGUUAAGUAGACAGAUUAAACGAAACGAAGAUAUGACAGGUGUACACCAUAUUUUUCUUUCAUUUAACCUCUGCAUGUUUCCCAG